CUGAAAGACUGGGAAGCCACUCGGGCGAUGGAGGUCACACCUUUGCAGGCUCCUCCUCCUCCUCCUGCGGCCCGCGACCAGCGCCACGGUGGUGUCACGUGUUCGCACCUUCACCCUGACGUCAUCACGCCAAGCCAGCCUUCAUCUGCUCAUCAACACCCGUGCUCACCUGCGUUCCAGCGAUCAACAGAAGGACGAAGGACUUCACCCGAUGCGUUUGGCGGCCCGGAGACGUAGGAAGUCAAGGUUGCAUGUUUGCGGUGGUCGUGUCCCCAAGAUGCAGGAAGGAACGGCAGAGCAGCGUGCAAGAGACCACGGGAAAGACCCUGGACACGGUGGACAGACUAUGUCUCCCAGCUGAACUGGGAACACCUUGGGAAGAGCUGGAAGAAGUAGCUGGGGAGAGGGAAGUCUGGGCUUCUCUGCUUGGGCUGCUGCCCCCGCGACCCGACUUCGGAAAAGAUGGAUGGUACCUUGGCGUGAUGACGUCAGGGUGAAGGUGCGAACACGUGACACCACCGUGGCGCCAAGCGACAUCAUCACGCUGGUGGCGGGCCGCAGGAGGAGGAGGAGCCUGGAAAGGUGUGACCUCCAUCGCCCGAGUGGCUUCCGAGUCAUUCAGAGGACCUGGAAGAAGACGACAGCUUCAUUUUGCUUUUGUAAAAGAGUCUAUUAUCUUUUAAAGUUGCGCCGACGUCAUGAAUUUGUUGUUUUUCGUCCUUCUGGCCGUGCAAAUGCAGAGCGUUUCUCCCGGUGAGUUGUUUUUAUUUACAACUUCUUUGUAACAUCUUAAGUGGACUGAAGUUGUUC